rnacentral:ncRNA from 1 species
AAACUUGAGAGUUUGAUCCUGGCUCAGAACGAACGCUGGCGGCAUGCCUAACACAUGCAAGUCGAACGAAGCCUUCGGGCUUAGUGGCGCACGGGUGCGUAACGCGUGGGAAUCUGCCCUUGGGUUCGGAAUAACAGUUAGAAAUGACUGCUAAUACCGGAUGAUGUCUUCGGACCAAAGAUUUAUCGCCCAAGGAUGAGCCCGCGUAAGAUUAGGUAGUUGGUGGGGUAAUGGCCUACCAAGCC